UUGGAGGGCAAGUCUGGUGCCAGCAGCCGCGGUAAUUCCAGCUCCAAUAGCGUAUAUUAAAGUUGUUGCAGUUAAAAAGCUCGUAGUUGAAUUUCGGGAUUGACGUGAUGGUCAUGCCUUAAGGGGUAUGAACUGUUACUGUUGAUUUCUCACCUUCUGGAGAAACUUGAUGUCCUUUAUUGGGUGUCUUGCGGAUCCAGGACCUUUACCUUGAAAAAAUUAGAGUGUUUAAAGCAGGCAUUUUUGCUCGAAUACAUUAGCAUGGAAUAAUAGAAUAGGACGGCAUGGUUCUAUUUUGUUGGCUUCUAGGAUCACCGUAAUGAUUAAUAGGGAUAGUUGGGGGCAUUAGUAUUCAAUUGUCAGAGGUGAAAUUCUUGGAUUUAUUGAAGACUAACUACUGCGAAAGCAUUUGCCAAGGAUGUUUUCAUUAAUCAAGAACGAAAGUUAGGGGAUCGAAGACGAUCAGAUACCGUCGUAGUCUUAACCAUAAACUAUGCUGACUAGGAAUCAGACGAUGUUAAUUUUUUAAUGACUCGUUUGGCACCUUACGGGAAACCAAAG
rnacentral:rRNA from 1 species